GGGCCUGUACAGGUUUCGACGGGGGUUUUGAAGCUUUAGAAGCGAGCCGCAUGCAAUGCGUUAAAUGGCAAAAUUAAAUAUAAACGCUAAUAGAAAUUUAGCAGUAGCUGCCUAAUUGCAGCUGGUUCCGCCUGAUGCACCUACACAUCAGGGCCGGGGCCUCGACCUUGUAGGAAACGACAUAGACAAAGCUUUGAGUCUGUGGGCGUAUUAUGAAGCUACUAAAGCCGUUUCUUUUGUUUGUUAAAGACGGUUGAGGGAAUUAAUCUUAACAAACUACGCUCGUAGAAGGAGAGUGGAUGGGCUUUCGGACGUGGGUUCGACUCCCACCAGGUCCAC
rnacentral:tmRNA from 1 species